rnacentral:hammerhead_ribozyme from 1 species
AUCCAGCUGAUGAGCCUUAAAUAGGCCGAAACACGCGUCCUGGAU